rnacentral:misc_RNA from 1 species
AAACUCAUAAACCAACAUCUGCAGGCAUAAUGGAAUACAUAUUAAGCUUUUCCCAAAUGAUAAAUUUUAACAUCACUAGAGAAAUAAGAAAAACAAAAGAAUUAUAUUUGGCAUAGAAUGACAAAUUUUUUCCUCAUUGACAGAAUCACUUAUAAAGGGGGAAAAAAAAACUUUCUGUACCUCCUAAAUGCCAUUUCUAGAUUCAAAUUGUUUCUUUAUUUUGCCAGAAAUUAUUUAGCAAUCAGAAUAACAAAACAUAAGCCUUUUACAUCUCUCAAAGUUGGCACUACUGCCUAAGAGUUGUGGCCUAACUGUUAAGGCUUCAAUCACACAUGGGGUGAGGGCUCAUAGGUUUUGACUUCUGAGGCUUGCAGCAAUGCGGGAGGGAACAAAGACUUGUGCCUACAGCUUACCCUAUGCCCAUGAUUACUCUAGUAGGGAUUUUUAUUUGGGUAAAAAAAAAGAACCUGAACUUUCCCCACAUAGUCUCCUAUAAUCCACCAAUUUAAUAGAACUGACUUCCUAAAAGGAUGAGAAAGACAGGCAGGAUUUGAUUAAUUUAAUUGACAAUGUGAAGACUAUGAAGGUGAACUUAAAAAAUUGUGAAAUAUAUAUGAGGGUACCUGUUCACCUUCUUCAUCACAGUA